GUCCCAGUACCAUAGUGGUUCGUGCACAGCCCCGGAAAGGUUAAGUCGCGGGAUCGAUUCCCGCCUGAGAUG
rnacentral:tRNA from 1 species